rnacentral:rRNA from 1 species
GAUGAACGCUGGCGGCGUGCCUAAUACAUGCAAGUCGAGCGAACAGAUGAGGAGCUUGCUCCUCUGACGUUAGCGGCGGACGGGUGAGUAACACGUGGAUAACCUACCUAUAAGACUGGGAUAACUUCGGGAAACCGGAGCUAAUACCGGAUAAUAUAUUGAACCGCAUGGUUCAAUAGUGAAAGACGGUUUUGCUGUCACUUAUAGAUGGAUCCGCGCCGCAUUAGCUAGUUGGUAAGGUAACGGCUUACCAAGGCAACGAUGCGUAGCCGACCUGAGAGGGGGGCCGCCCACAUGGACCCUGAGACACGGCCCAGACUCCUACGGGGGGCAGCAGUGGGGAUUCUUCCGAAAUGGGGGAAAGCCUGACGGAGCACCGCCGGGGGAGGGAGAAAGGUUUCCGGAUCGAAAAACUGUGUUAUGAGGAAAAAACAAAUGUUUAAUAACGUAUGCCCGUCUUGACGGUCCCUAAUCAAAAAGCCCCGGCUAACUCCGUG